GCCCUCGUAGUCUAACCGGAAGGACGGCCGUCUUCUAAACGGCGAAGUGCAGGUUCGAAUCCUGCCGGGGGUGCCA
rnacentral:tRNA from 1 species